CAGUAGCCGCGGGAAAACGAGGGGGGCAAGCGUUGUUCGGAAUUAUUGGGCGUAAAGCGUGCGUAGGCGGUUCGUUAAGUCUGUUGUGAAAGCCCCGGACUCAACCUGGGAAUGGCAAUGGAUACUGGCGAGCUAGAGUGUGUCAGAGGAUGGUGGAAUUCCCGGUGUAGCGGUGAAAUGCGUAGAGAUCGGGAGGAACAUCAGUGGCGAAGGCGGCCAUCUGGGACAACACUGACGCUGAGGCACGAAAGCGUGGGGAGCAAACAGGAUUAGAUACCCCAGUAGUCCCUGUCUCUUAUAC
rnacentral:rRNA from 1 species